rnacentral:tRNA from 1 species
GGCCCGUUCGUCUAUCGGCUAGGACAUGGCCCUCUCAAGGCCAAGAGACGGGUUCGAUUCCCGUACGGGCUACCA